rnacentral:tRNA from 1 species
GGGCGGUUAGCUCAGCUGGUUAGAGCGUCGCGUUCACAUCGCGAAGGUCGCUGGUUCGAGUCCAGCACCGCCCA